rnacentral:rRNA from 1 species
GAUGAACGCUGGCGGCGUGCCUAACACAUGCAAGUCGAACGGAGUCCAGCCUUUAAGACCUUCGGGUCAAAGAGGGGAAGACUGAGUGGCGGACGGGUGAGUAACACGUGGGCAACCUGGCUCAUAGAGGGGGAUAACAGAGAGAAAUUUCUGCUAAUACCGCAUAAGCACACACUGCCGCAUGGCAGAGGGUGAAAAGAGAAUCGCUAUGAGAUGGACCCGCGUCUGAUUAGCCAGUUGGCAGGGUAAGAGCCUACCAAAGCGACGAUCAGUAGCCGAUCUGGGAGGAUGAACGGCCACAUUGGGACUGAGACACGGCCCAAACUCCUACGGGAGGCAGCAGUGGGGGAUAUUGCACAAUGGGGGGAACCCUGAUGCAGCGACGCCGCGUGAGUGAAGAAGUAUUUCGGUAUGUAAAGCUCUAUCAGCAGGGAAGAUAAUGACAGUACCUGAAUAAGAAGCCCCGGCUAACUACGUG